rnacentral:rRNA from 1 species
UACAGAGGGGGCAAGCGUUGUUCGGAAUUACUGGGCGUAAAGGGCGCGUAGGCGGCCUGUUAAGUCGAACGUGAAAUCCCCGGGCUCAACCCGGGAACUGCGUCCGAUACUGGCAGGCUUGAAUUCGGGAGAGGGAUGUGGAAUUCCAGGUGUAGCGGUGAAAUGCGUAGAUAUCGGGAAGAACACCCGUGGCGAAGGCGGUUCUCUGGGACGGUACUGACGCUGAGACGCGAAAGCGUGGGGAGCGAACAGG